rnacentral:rRNA from 1 species
AUUGAACGCUGGCGGCAGGCCUAACACAUGCAAGUCGAGCGGAGCGGGGGACGCGUGAGUGAGGGAUAGGUAUCUGCACGGCAGUGGGGGAUAACGCCCGGAAAUGGGCGCAAAUACAGUAUACUAUCAGAAGCGUAUAGGUCGGAUUGGCAAGUUGGUGGGGUAAAGGCAUACCAAGGCGACGACCCGUAACUGGUCUGAGAGGAGGAGCAGUCACCCGGCACCUGGGACACGGUCCAACCUCCUAGGGGAGGCAGCGGUGGGGAAUAUUGGGCAAUGGGCGAAAGCCGGUUCCAGCCAUGCCGCGUGUGUGAUGAAGGUCUUCGGAUUGUAAAGCACUUUAUGUUGGGAGGCGUUACCAACAGAAUAAGCACCGGCUAACUUCGUGCCAGCAGCCGCGGUAAUUC